rnacentral:lncRNA from 1 species
GGUGAGUUCUGCAUUUCAGCCAUGUUCUGGACAGUCACGCAGAUCUUUACAAGCAUGGCGUGCCGGCUCUUGGUCAUCAAUGAAACAGUGAAACUAUUGAUAAGGUCUGAUUUAGAGAGAGGAAGGUGAACUCCUCUCUUUUCAUGUGACUUUCAAUCCCAUUUUCAAGUUUUACAAAAGUCCUGAUCCUUCAUUAAAGUGAGAACUGCCUGAGGCCCAGGAUAAGCAAAAUCUGUUCCUUGCCUGGUGACAGAGCAAAAGGCUAAAAUCCUAAAUGCAAGAAUUUCUGAUUGAUGAUGGAAAUGUAUACCACAUACCAGCCCACUGUCUAUGAUUUAGGUCCUUUCAGUACCAAAGAUGGCACUUUUUGGUAUGGUCAGACCAUUACCUAUUAGCAAGAGAAAGCACUGGAAAUGUCAAAAACGUAUUUGGUGCAUGUUUUUCUCUGCCUGCAGUAAAAGUAUCUGAAUUCAUUGUAUUGAAUUGGAAGGUACUUGCUGGUGAGGUAGAAGAGCACAUAAUAACCAUUAUUUCUUGAAAUUCUCUAAAAUAGACAAAAUGUAGGCAGAUAGCGUAUAAACAUACCAUAAUCAGGAAUGUGAAGAAUAAAGAAUUUGUGCACGUGUGUUUGGAAUGUUACUGGCACUUUGCUCAUAUCUGCCUCUUAAGAAUAGCAAAUGAAUUUCAGUUUUUGAAUCGUACUCCUUAAUUGCGUAUUUUCUCAGUGUGUUUAUAUGUAUGUAUGUAUUUAUGCAUCUGUAUGUCUCCCUACGUAGGUAACUUCAUAAAUAACUAGAAAAACAUUAUGGUGGCUUUAUACAGCAUGCAUUAACAUACAUAGCAGUAACAUCAUGGCUAUUUGAGAAAAAUGAAGUAACUGC